AACGAACGCUGGCGGCAGGCCUAACACAUGCAAGUCGAGCGCCCAGCAAUGGGAGCGGCAGACGGGUGAGUAACGCGUGGGAACCUUCCCAAUGGUACGGAAUAGCUCAGGGAAACUUGAGGUAAUACCGCAUAAGCCCGAAAGGGGAAGAUUUAUCGCCAUUGGAUGGGCCCGCGUAGGAUUAGCUAGUUGGUGAGGUAAUGGCUCACCAAGGCGACGAUCCUUAGCUGGUUUGAGAGAAUGACCAGCCACACUGGGACUGAGACACGGCCCAGACUCCUACGGGAGGCAGCAGUGGGGAAUCUUGGACAAUGGGCGAAAGCCUGAUCCAGCCAUGCCGCGUGAGUGACGAAGGUCUUCGGAUUGUAAAGCUCUUUUGCCAGGGACGAUAAUGACGGUACCUGGAGAAUAAGCCCCGGCUAACUUCGUGCCAGCAGCCGCAGUAAC
rnacentral:rRNA from 1 species